rnacentral:tRNA from 1 species
UUUUCCGUGGCCUACUGGUUAGGGCUUCGGACUUGAAACCGAAGGGUUGCCAGUUCAAUCCCCCGACCAGUAGGAAAAA